rnacentral:snoRNA from 1 species
AUUCCAUGAUGAGGACACCUUGUAAGCAACUCUUUAAAUCUCUCCCAAGCCUCAUACAAACUCUAAUCUUCAAGUUGGAAAAGAAGUGAUCUCAUUCCGUAAUUUU